rfam:Hordeum vulgare subsp. vulgare, WGS project CAJW01000000 data, contig: morex_contig_328402
CCGCUUGGAGAUGACGAGAUGAUCUCCUACAUCAUCACUGGUCUCGACCUCGAGUACCAGCCGCUCGUCUCCGCGCUCGACGCUCAAACUUCUCCAGUCUCCCUCGACGAUCUAUUUGCUCAAAUGAGCAACUUCGACC